rnacentral:rRNA from 1 species
GCGCACCAGGCGAGAAUUUUUCUCAAUGGGGGAAACCCUGAAGGAGCGACGCCGCGUGGAGGAUGAAGGCUUUCGGGUUGUAAACUCCUGUCAUUUGAGAACAAGUGGCCGAACGUAACUACUUCGGCCUUGAUAGUAUCAGAAGAGGAAGGGACGGCUAACUCUGUGCCAGCAGCCGCGGUAAUACAGAGGUCUCAAGCGUUGUUCGGAUUCAUUGGGCGUAAAGGGUGCGUAGGUGGCGCCGUAAGUCGGGUGUGAAAUUUCGGAGCUUAACUCCGAAACUGCAUUCGAUACUGCGGUGCUUGAGGACUGGAGAGGAGACUGGAAUUUACGGUGUAGCAGUGAAAUGCGUAGAGAUCGUAAGAAGACCAGUGGCGAAGGCGGUCGUCUGGAC